rnacentral:rRNA from 1 species
UAAUACGGAGGGUGCAAGCGUUGUUCGGAAUUACUGGGCGUAAAGGGCGCGUAGGCGGUACUGUAAGUCAGGUGUGAAAGUCCUGGGCUCAACCCAGGAAGUGCAUCUGAAACUGCAGAACUUGAGUAUCGGAGGGGAGAGUGGAAUUCCAGGUGUAGAGGUGAAAUUCGUAGAUAUCUGGAGGAACACCGGUGGCGAAGGCGACUUUCUGGACGAAUACUGACGCUGAGGCGCGAAAGCGUGGGGAGCAAACAGGAUUAGAUACCCUGGUAGUCCACAGCUGUAAACGAUGUGCACUAGAUGUAGCGGGUGUUGACCCCUGCUGUGUCGCAGCUAACGCAUUAAGUGCACCGCCUGGGGAGUACGGUCGCAAGAUUA